rnacentral:lncRNA from 1 species
AUUCCUCCAACAAAUAAGACAGAGAACUGCCUGUUUUUUUGGUUCCCUAUCGAAGGACGGAGCUUGGAACAACAUUUAUAACGGUUUAAUGACACAAAGAGUAAAAGGUGCUGCAGCCCAUCCAUCUGCUGAAUGUUGCCAAGUAACAGCCAUCCAUGGAACAUGGAAAAAUGAAUUCACCCGGCCAGGCCCAAAUUGUCGACCCACAGAACAUGAGCAGAUGCAGAAGCUCUAACCAAGGAUUCCUAGAGAGAAAGAGUAGAGCCAUGAGACGAAGGGAGCCUGGGUCCCUAAAUCACCAUGUCGGAGCUCUUCAGCGAAAAGCUGACGCUGAGCUGCUACGUGAGCAAGAGACACCUUGCCCAGCAAGAGAGAGAUUCCACCGAGGCAUGUACCUUCUUCCACUCAAAGGUAAUUA